rnacentral:tRNA from 1 species
AUAAAUAUAGUUUAACAAAAACGUCAGAUUGUGAUUCUGAAAAUAGGAGAUAAAACCUCCUUCUUUAUC